GGGUUGUGAGGUUAAGCGACUAAGCGUACACGGUGGAUGCCCUGGCAGUCAGAGGCGAUGAAGGACGUGCUAAUCUGCGAAAAGCGUCGGUAAGGUGAUAUGAACCGUUACAACCGGCGAUGUCCGAAUGGGGAAACCCAGUGCAAUUCGUUGCACUAUCGUUAACUGAAUACAUAGGUUAACGAGGCGAACCGGGGGAACUGAAACAUCUAAGUACCCCGAGGAAAAGAAAUCAACCGAGAUUCCCCCAGUAGCGGCGAGCGAACGGGGAGCAGCCCAGAGUCUGAAUCAGCUUGUGUGUUAGUGGAACGGUCUGGAAAGUCCGACGGUACAGGGUGAUAGUCCCGUACACCAAAAUGCACAGGCUGUGAACUCGAAGAGUAGGGCGGGACACGUGGUAUCCUGUCUGAAUAUGGGGGGACCAUCCUCCAAGGCUAAAUACUCCUGACUGACCGAUAGUGAACCAGUACCGUGAGGGAAAGGCGAAAAGAACCCCGGCGAGGGGAGUGAAAAAGAACCUGAAACCGUGUACGUACAAGCAGUGGGAGCACCUUCGGGUGUGACUGCGUACCUUUUGUAUAAUGGGUCAGCGACUUAUAUUCUGUAGCAAGGUUAACCGUAUAGGGGAGCCGCAGGGAAACCGAGUCUUAACUGGGCGUUAAGUUGCAGGGUAUAGACCCGAAACCCGGUGAUCUAGCCAUGGGCAGGUUGAAGGUUGGGUAACACUAACUGGAGGACCGAACCGACUAAUGUUGAAAAAUUAGCGGAUGACUUGUGGCUGGGGGUGAAAGGCCAAUCAAACCGGGAGAUAGCUGGUUCUCCCCGAAAGCUAUUUAGGUAGCGCCUCGUGAAUUCAUCUUCGGGGGUAGAGCACUGUUUCGGCUAGGGGGUCAUCCCGACUUACCAACCCGAUGCAAACUACGAAUACCGAAGAAUGUUAUCACGGGAGACACACGGCGGGUGCUAACGUCCGUCGUGAAGAGGGAAACAACCCAGACCGCCAGCUAAGGUCCCAAAGUCAUGGUUAAGUGGGAAACGAUGUGGGAAGGCACAGACAGCCAGGAUGUUGGCUUAGAAGCAGCCAUCAUUUAAAGAAAGCGUAAUAGCUCACUGGUCGAGUCGGCCUGCGCGGAAGAUGUAACGGGGCUAAACCAUGCACCGAAGCUGCGGCAGCGACACUAUGUGUUGUUGGGUAGGGGAGCGUUCUGUAAGCCUGCGAAGGUGGCCUGUGAGGGUUGCUGGAGGUAUCAGAAGUGCGAAUGCUGACAUAAGUAACGAUAAAGCGGGUGAAAAGCCCGCUCGCCGGAAGACCAAGGGUUCCUGUCCAACGUUAAUCGGGGCAGGGUGAGUCGACCCCUAAGGCGAGGCCGAAAGGCGUAGUCGAUGGGAAACAGGUUAAUAUUCCUGUACUUGGUGUUACUGCGAAGGGGGGACGGAGAAGGCUAUGUUAGCCGGGCGACGGUUGUCCCGGUUUAAGCAUGUAGGCUGGUUGUCCAGGCAAAUCCGGAUAAUCAAGGCUGAGGUGUGAUGACGAGGCACUACGGUGCUGAAGUAACAAAUGCCCUGCUUCCAGGAAAAGCCUCUAAGCAUCAGGUAACAUCAAAUCGUACCCCAAACCGACACAGGUGGUCAGGUAGAGAAUACCAAGGCGCUUGAGAGAACUCGGGUGAAGGAACUAGGCAAAAUGGUGCCGUAACUUCGGGAGAAGGCACGCUGGUGUGUAGGUGAAGCCCCUGCGGGUGGAGCUGAGACCAGUCGAAGAUACCAGCUGGCUGCAACUGUUUAUUAAAAACACAGCACUGUGCAAACACGAAAGUGGACGUAUACGGUGUGACGCCUGCCCGGUGCCGGAAGGUUAAUUGAUGGGGUUAUCCGUAAGGAGAAGCUCUUGAUCGAAGCCCCGGUAAACGGCGGCCGUAACUAUAACGGUCCUAAGGUAGCGAAAUUCCUUGUCGGGUAAGUUCCGACCUGCACGAAUGGCGUAAUGAUGGCCAGGCUGUCUCCACCCGAGACUCAGUGAAAUUGAACUCGCUGUGAAGAUGCAGUGUACCCGCGGCAAGACGGAAAGACCCCGUGAACCUUUACUAUAGCUUGACACUGAACAUUGAGCCUUGAUGUGUAGGAUAGGUGGGAGGCUUUGAAGCGUGGACGCCAGUCUGCGUGGAGCCAACCUUGAAAUACCACCCUUUAAUGUUUGAUGUUCUAACGUUGGCCCCUGACCGGGGUUGCGGACAGUGUCUGGUGGGUAGUUUGACUGGGGCGGUCUCCUCCCAAAGCGUAACGGAGGAGCACGAAGGUUAGCUAAUCCUGGUCGGACAUCAGGAGGUUAGUGCAAUGGCAUAAGCUAGCUUGACUGCGAGCGUGACGGCGCGAGCAGGUGCGAAAGCAGGUCAUAGUGAUCCGGUGGUUCUGAAUGGAAGGGCCAUCGCUCAACGGAUAAAAGGUACUCCGGGGAUAACAGGCUGAUACCGCCCAAGAGUUCAUAUCGACGGCGGUGUUUGGCACCUCGAUGUCGGCUCAUCACAUCCUGGGGCUGAAGUAGGUCCCAAGGGUAUGGCUGUUCGCCAUUUAAAGUGGUACGCGAGCUGGGUUUAGAACGUCGUGAGACAGUUCGGUCCCUAUCUGCCGUGGGCGCUGGAGAAUUGAGGGGGGCUGCUCCUAGUACGAGAGGACCGGAGUGGACGCAUCACUGGUGUUCGGGUUGUCAUGCCAAUGGCACUGCCCGGUAGCUAAAUGCGGAAGAGAUAAGUGCUGAAAGCAUCUAAGCACGAAACUUGCCCCGAGAUGAGUUCUCCCUGAGACUUUAAGUCUCCUGAAGGAACGUUGAAGACGACGACGUUGAUAGGCCGGGUGUGUAAGCGCAGCGAUGCGUUGAGCUAACCGGUACUAAUGAACCGUGAGGCUUAACCUUACAACGCCGAAG
rnacentral:rRNA from 1 species